CUCUCUCUCUCUCUCUCUCUCUGCCUCACUUAUAUUCUCUCUCUCUCUCUCUUCUCAUUCCUUCUCUCUCUGUCUCUCUCUCUCUCUCUCCAUUACCCCCACUUGGUUGCUCAUUCUGUCUCUUUCUCUCUUUUUCCUCCCCACUCUCUAUCUUUCUCUCUUGCUCUGGCUUUCUCUCUCUCUCGCUCUCUCGCUCUUGCUCUUUCUCUAUCUUUCUCAUUUAUUCGCUCACUUACUCUUUCUCACGCAUCUACACGUACGCGGGUACAUUAUAUAACAUACACGCGGUCUGUCCUCUCUUGAUCUGUGUGCCUGCUUGUUGUGUUGUCUAUCUCCCUCGGGUUUAGGUUCGGGCUCGAGUGAAUCAAAAUAACGAAGAGAAUGUGCCGUUGAUGAUCGGUGGAAAAAAAGGGUGGUGGUACUUGCUAAAUAUCAUCGGAUCCUUUGGUGCUCUCGAUAAUCGGUCCGAAAUAUAGUUUUGUGUAUCGAUGCACGCAAGAUUUCUCGUACAGAUCGUCCCGCCUUUCUACACCGAUGCUGGAUAUCAGUGAUUUAAAUUAUGUGUGAAUUCGACGUAAGGAAACGCAAUCGCUUUGUGGAUUUUUUCGGUCUCGCCCUCGAGUUUAUUGUAAAGAAAGGACAAAAUCAAAGGUGUAUUCUAUAAUUAAGAAGUUAAUGAAUUUUGUCCAAGUGGCUAACUGUUAUGUGUGAACACGCUAAAGAAGUAAUUGGUCCGCGAAACACCGGUGCUGAAGUGUACCAUCGACUGUGAUAUACCGUGUGAUAUCCUUCGAGGAAGAAUGCAACUUCGUGCAAGAUUCGAUCGAUGAAAAAUAGAAUUCUCCACCCGUCAUCAUGUUCACGAGGGCCAAGAUGCCGGUGACUGGUGAUGGGACUUUUAUUAACCGCGUGGUAACGAGAAAUGUGACAUGUUGUCGUUAAACAACAAUGAGCACCGGGGAGCACGCGUCAGCGAAAAAAUCAUCGUAAGUACUCAAAAUGAUUUCUCUCUGUUUGGCUACACAUUGCGGCGUGCUUGAGUAUGCUUGCUUGAUCAUCCCAGAGCAUAUUAGCAUCGAUGAUGGCAACGGCAGCCUGGUUACUGGUAUGGAUCAUGUGGCCGACCACACGCCAUCGACGAAAUCAGUGAAAAGGGUAUGCAGUUGACGCAUCCCUCUGUCCCUUAAAGACUGGAAAUAAGCGUCCAGAGGAAAGCGGAACCGUUUCUUUUCAACGUCGUUUUACAUGCGUACGUGCGUGCGUACGCGCGUGUUACAUUCGCUAGCUUGCAUGCGAAAAGUGCGAGGAAGGGC
rnacentral:lncRNA from 1 species